UUUAAAGUUUACCGCCUUUUUGCGAAUACAAUGACGUUUACAUAUGAAUUGCCCAAUGAAAAUUUCGGCGGGAUGACGUCAGGCGCCAAAACUGGCGCGUGGUUUUUCCCGGUAUAGACCCAGUGUGUCAACGCUGUAAAUGCAUUGUGGGAAACGGACUAUUUCCAGCAUGGCGCCCGUAAAGAUUAUGAACACGGAAGUAAAAAUAGUAAUAAAUUAUUAUCAAAAACAGGCCUCAUCAAACCGGGUCAGCCAUGAUAUAUUCUUGGAUGCAGUUUGUGCUUCAAAAGGAGCUACUUUUCAUGCCAGCCUAUCGAUACUAUGUGGGAACUGGGAUUCGGGAUGCUCUCCCACUGGUAUCAUAUGCAGAUCAGUGGUCACAAGAACGUACACAACAUCAUUAAUGUCAGCAAUAUAUAUCUCCAACUUCAAACACACAGCUUGCAAAAUCGCUGAAUAUUGCACAAAAGCAGCUUCGUUACAAACUUCCAGCAACUCGAAAUCCACAAGCAGUCUCGUUCCCCACCCACUUUGACUUCGUAGCGAAGGCAUGUUUUUUUUGGGAAACCGUUAACAUCUCACAACUAAACGUAUACUACGGAGAUUGACAAGUUGAAAAAUAAAUUACUGUAAUCACUUCCAAUUUGCGCACUAAGUUAAACUCCAGUUCCAGUUUGUCUUUAUUGUUGAAAUGUUACUCUACACAUUCGCUUUGAAAAUAGAGGUUGGCGUGUUGUUGGAAGUACAUGUACAUGUCGAAUGUGUUAUUGUAAAAACUAUUGGUAUUGUGUUUUUAGUGCAGACAUUGUAUUUAAGUUUCGAUUUCUAGCAUAAAUUUAUAUAUUUUGUUAAAUAAUUUGCGUUUGAAUGUGAUUGUUUGUUGCUUACUUGCGAACUAUUUUUUAUGUGUAAAUAUGCAUAGACGCUAGUGGAUAUGUAAUCAGGUUACCAUAUUUACAACAAUAAAAUUUAACGGCUGUU